UGGGGAAUAUUGGACAAUGGGCGCAAGCCUGAUCCAGCCAUGCCGCGUGUGUGAAGAAGGCCUUUUGGUUGUAAAGCACUUUAAGCGAGGAGGAGGCUCUCUUAGUUAAUACCUAAGAUGAGUGGACGUUACUCGCAGAAUAAGCACCGGCUAACUCUGUGCCAGCAGCCGCGGUAAUACAGAGGGUGCGAGCGUUAAUCGGAUUUACUGGGCGUAAAGCGUGCGUAGGCGGCUUUUUAAGUCGGAUGUGAAAUCCCCGAGCUUAACUUGGGAAUUGCAUUCGAUACUGGGAAGCUAGAGUAUGGGAGAGGAUGGUAGAAUUCCAGGUGUAGCGGUGAAAUGCGUAGAGAUCUGGAGGAAUACCGAUGGCGAAGGCAGCCAUCUGGCCUAAUACUGACGCUGAGGUACGAAAGCAUGGGGAGCAAACA
rnacentral:rRNA from 1 species